CGUUAUUCAAUCUGUUGAAAAAUUGCGUGAUCUCAACUCCACAAUAGAAAUAAUAUAAAUAUGGGGCUGGACGAAGACACGGCAUCAGUUUGUUGUGAACAGAACAAUCAACUACAUUCAAAAUGAUGAAAUUCUUGAUUCUUGCUUUCGUUGCCUUGAUGGUACUCGUUGCUUCUGCCGUUGCUGAGCCAGAACCACAACCAUCUGGUAUUAUUGCCGGAGCUCCCAUUUUGGCCGCACCAGCCGUAGCUGUUGGAGGACUUGGUUUGGGUUUGGGACAUGGUGCCAUUCUUGGUUAAACAGCUACCAACUUAAACUUUGAACUGAGUAGCUAGAGACAAAUAAAACUUUCAAAAAUUA